rnacentral:lncRNA from 1 species
UAUGACUUCAGCAAAUGUCUUUGAUUACAUUUGAACAUUCCUCUGUUACUUGUCUGCUGGUUAAAAUCUUGAUAUACAUAACUUGGCUGAGCAUCAGACCUUCCUCAUUUCUUCCUGGAGAAGAGCAGUCUUUCAGUACCAGCUGCAGUCCUACAGGUGGUAAAUCUUCUCUAUUUUCAGAGCAUCCCUGGGAAGAGCCCUGGAGUGAAGGAGGAGAAGCACAGGGGGUGGUGUGGCGCUGAACAGAGCCUGGAAAUGCUAUCUCUCUCAAAAUGCUGUACUCCAGGGAGCCCUGAAAGCUGCUGCAACCUAUCUCAGAAAAUGCUAUGUCAGAAAGAGAAAUAGAUUUUUUUCCUAAACUUCCUUGAAUUCUAAAGACAACAUUUAAGGCAAUCCUAAGAAGUAGCCACAGAAUGUAUGUGACUUUUUUCCUUUUUUUUUUUUUCCUUUUUUUUUUUUUUUUUUAAGUGCUUGUCUGAAAAUACUGCCUGAUAUGCCUGGAGAGAACCUUGGAGUACCAAAGGAAAUACUUGUGUCAUUGGCUUACUAAAUGAAUAGUAACUCUAUGGAUGUCAGAAUGAUUCAGGGAAAGGAUGCAUUGCAAGGAAAUGCUCAGUUGGAUUGUUUUCGCUUCCUUCUUUCUUUGACAGUUUUGUCUUUCCAUGGGCUGCCCUUCUGUCAGAUGUGUCUCCUUUCUGCUGGAGAACUUGGUGUCAAAUCAAACUGUACUGGGACAAAAAUAAGCCAAUUGAGUGAGUAAAUAGUUGCCUGGAAAGACCAGGUACCAUCAAACAAAUAUGUUUAAAAUUGACACAAGAUGCUGUUUUCCUGCUCUGAUAGACUCAUACCCAUGCUUUAAUUGUAUCCAAACAACCAUCUGCUAUGAAAAGCAGUGCACUUGCUUUGCUGAUGUAAUCCUUAUCGGAGACUGGGAAAGCCUUGUUCUGCUUUGGGAAGCCAAGAUGCUAGGAACAUUUAUUUCAUUCAUAGUAAUGCACUUCUAAAACAUACCUUUAGGCAAACAUUUGUGCAUUUUAGUACAAAUAUUCAUCGAGGACACAUAUUCUUGGUUGUUUGCCCACAUAGAUAUGAAUAGCAUUUGAUACAUACUCAUUCUUAGUAACUCUCAAGGUUUUCUGCCUUUUCCCUUUGUCACUGAUGAAAGCAGAUAUUUGUCAGUAAAUAUUGUGUUUGGGCACACCAACAUUUCAAGAUACUGCCUGAAAAUGUGUGUUGAAGGUGUAAAGAAUUGAGGAGAAACAAGAGAAAGAAAAAUGAAAGAAGCCUUUCCUCGAUGAAUAAAAUGGGUUUUUCUGUUUUUGUAACUCAAAACAUGCGUAGGUGAAUGAAUUCUACACAAAUUCAGCUUCAGGCAGAGCCUGGGAAAAGGUGGUGAAAGUACUGGAAAAGUGUGCUCUGUAAUGAAGUCUCCUAGAUUUUAACAUUGGUGAAUUUGCAUAUAAUUAAAAGGUAAUGGAACAUGAUAUUUCCUUUAGUUCCCAUCUAAGCUAAAACAGUAGAAAGUGUAAUUUAUUAAAAAGAGCAUAAGCAGCAUUUUCCCUUCCUUUAAUCAGACCUAUGACAAUCAGAAAAAUCAAAAGUAAAUCUAAACCACAUGUGUAUAAUUCAAAACAUAAACAGAUUCUUUAGCUUAUAUACAUACUGUGAGAAAAUAGUUGGGUAAAUAGCAUCAUUGUGCUCCUGGGAAACAAUGGCAGAGACAUUGUAUGGCUGAAUUUUCAGAGACUGAAAUUUCUUUACAGAGCAACCUAUAAAAAUUUAUUGUCUAAAUCUUGCUGUAAAAUCUAUCAUGUUAUGGGCAUUUUGAUCAUACUGAAUUAAUCCUUCUCUCUCUUCUCUCUCUCUCUCUUUUUUUUUUUAAUGGGUACUUCAACAG